CUGAGGAACUCGCACCGUUGUUGCUGGCCUUCGGGCAUGUGCACGCGGUUGCACUCUUCUUAUUCCACACCUGUGAACCGUUUAACGAGUGGAGUUGCGUUCGCGCGCUUUAACUCGCUACUACACACUACUUCGAACAACUCAGAACGUCUUGACAUUAUUAAAUGUAA
rnacentral:misc_RNA from 1 species